rnacentral:lncRNA from 1 species
UUUUGACAACGUUGUGUAAAUUGUGCUUUUUACUGCAUAAACAAUUAAUCAUUCCAACUUCAUCAAAUUUCGAUUUCAUCAACUUUAGAGGAAAAUUGUGCCUUUUACUGGUAAUUAACUUCCCCAAAUUCAAUAGUGAAAAGCCAUGCACGUAGAACUUUCCAUAUAUAUAUAUAUAAGCCAACUUAUAACUAGCCACCUUAGCUUUCUUGGAUCUGUUCGUCCGCGAAACGGCGUCACAUCUUUGCCUAUCUAUUCAACCUUGAAUUUGUCAUGUGGCAGGCCGUCCUUCUUCUGUCAUUAAUGGCUUCAUUCUGGCGUCUUUCCAAGAGCUACUCGAAUCAAAAUCAAUACAAAUGAUUUGACAUGGGGUAAUCCAUGACUCGCAGCUUGUUGUAGUGCCGUGUUUCGUAGUUUCAAUGGCGCUUUCGAGGCAAUUUUGCAAUGCCUCUUGGCCAUCAAACAUGUUUUAUGUUGAGAUGUAUGCGAUUGUUCAGGUUAUUGAGUUUGCAGCUCCGAAGGGACGGGAUUGUAUUUGGUCAGAGAGUGCGACUCAUCUUCAGCAGCCAGCUUCAACUUGUCUCAUGAGCUCCAGCUUCAAGCCGCCAUGGCAACUGCGCUUCAGAUGGUUCAGUUGCUUGAGCUUAAUUCGUGGUACGCAUUUUACUUGUUUGCACAACUGCGCUUCAGAUCUACUUGAGGAUGCUUGAGGUCUUCUCCAAAUAUCACUUCAAAUCAGUGAUUUCAUAAUAUUUUCUCCUCUUUUUUCUUAAUAAAAUUUCAGUAUCAUUCAUAUGAAAAAAAAAAUUAAUAUAUAAUGCAUGUCAUAACAUUCACAAACCUUCUAAUAUUUCGCCUCUUGCAUUGCAUUAUACCAUAACAAAAAGAUUUUCUUCAACGUAGGGAAAUUGGCUUUAUUUACAUUUAUUUAAAAAUUAAAAAAAAAAAACUGAAAAUCAAGAAUCGAGCCGUUCAUUAGAGUGAAUCAAAAUAAAUUGAACCGAUAAAAGACUACCAGAGAUGAAUCUUUAGAACACCAAGUCUGAAGAUACAAGAUUUUUUGAUAGCAGGAUUAAUCAUAAAAAGUUUGAAACAAUUCGAAAUUUGUAUUAAAUAAUUAUGAACCCUUACGGCAAGACUAGUAACCAAGUAAAUACAUCACUACGUUGGAACAACUUCUGCAAAUUUUGGAUGCAUGGUACGAAGAAGAAUACAAAUAUAAAAGCCCAAAAGCUAAAGAAAGAAAAAAAAAAAAAAAGGUAGAAAACCUAAUUGAAUGCAUGAACACAUCCGCUGAGCACACAUAUAGGAGCAAAAUCACUGAUCAGAUUUGUGAUUUGAGUCUCUCCAAGAGUCUUGCAACAGGAGUGAAAUCGAGUCCCGCAAUAGCUAAAUGAUACGCCACAUGAUAAAAAAUUGAAUCUGCACCUCUCAGAGUACCUUCAAACAAUUAAGAACAUAUUGAAGUAACAAGUUAUUAGGUGCAGACGUCUGCACGAAGGAAAUUAUUAUAAAGGAUUAAUGCGAGAAAAAGUACGCACCAGAAAUUAAUCCAUCUCUGCUCAAGAUUUGAAACAGGGAAGAAAAGCAUUUCGAGUAGCUUCAUCCACCCAUUCGAGCUGUUCCCACCAUCUUCUGUCUCCAUCAAUAACAAUGUUACGCUCUCUUGCACUAUUGGAAUCAAGUGGAAGCUUUUUGAGCUUAUAGCAAUUCAAG